UACGUAGGGUGCAAGCGUUGUCCGGAAUUAUUGGGCGUAAAGGGCUCGUAGGCGGUCCAUCGCGUCGGGAGUGAAAAGCUGGGGCUUAACCCCAGUCCUGCUUCCGAUACGGGUGGACUAGAGGUAUGCAGGGGAGAACGGAAUUCCUGGUGUAGCGGUGAAUGACGCAGAUAUCAGGAGGAACACCGGUGGCGAAGGCGGUUCUCUGGCAUUACCUGACGCUGAGGAGCGAAAGCAUGGGGAGCAAACAGG
rnacentral:rRNA from 1 species